rnacentral:lncRNA from 1 species
GGAUAGUAAAGGUGCCCUUUCUGGGGCAUUCUGCUUCGAGAAGAGGCGGAAGAGCUGUGCAUGCCUGGAGCCCCUGGGAGCCCAUGACAGCCAGGAGCAUCCUGGGCAUAAAAAUCAGCACCUGGGGCCUCAUUCCACUCAUCUCGCACACCUCUGCAGUCCCUUCCACGAUGCCCUCACCGCUGGUAAUCAGCAUCCAUUACAUCGGCGCCAGGAACCAGCUCAGGAGGCCACCUGAUCCGCCCUCCUGUCCCUCCAGCCCUCCUCUGGAAGGACUCAGCGCUUGCAGUCAGACAUCUCUCCCCAUUGAGACCAUUUUUACUGUUGGUGAACUGGAGGACUAUCGCACUGCCCAAGACACUGUUCUCUGCAGCAGGUUUGCACAGGGUGCCAGUUAGGGAGGAGAAGGCAGCGAGGAACCCCGCACUUUAAGGAACAGGGAUGUCAUAGCAGCCGUCUGCAUGGGGGAGGGGGCUGGGGAGCACAGGGCUAUUGGCAAGGAGACAGGGCUAGUUAGGACCACCGGAACCAGGCUGAUGGGCACUGAGGGGGUAGCCCAGGCGGCCCUCUCUACUAUCAUGGGCCUUGCAGAUUGAGUUCUCCUCUUCCUGCCGGGCCGCCUGCCUUUGUUGUCCUGAGGACUGACAGGUAAUGUUUGUGGCAGACCUCACACAGCCACAGCCGUGGGUGUAGACGGCAGAGCUCAGCACAGACUCACAGGUUCUGGUUACUAUGGCAUGCACAUCCUGCCCAGCUGAGAAAUUCCAGAGUGAGGAGGUGUUACCCUCACUCCUGACAGAGGCAGACCUGCCUUAGAUGAAGGAGAAUCCAGUGAAGGGGUGUUAAGAAUGAAAUCAGUGGCUGCUAGUUAGUGGUCUUGUUUCUACUGCGGGGGCCGUUGUCCAAGCAGACCUUCAGAGAGUGACGGGGCACUCUUGGUGAUGAUGCCAGAAUGACAGGUGUUACCUGGGAUGCAUGGACAUCUUAUUUCCUGGGAGCAAUCAGGGACCUCUGGGGGCAAGUAUUGUGCUUAGAAACACCGAGGAGCAGCUG